rnacentral:rRNA from 1 species
UACGGGGGGGGCAAGCGUUGUUCGGAAUUACUGGGCGUAAGGGGCUUGUAGGCGGCCAACUAAGUCAGACGUGAAAUCCCUCGGCUUAACCGGGGAACUGCGUCUGAUACUGGAUGGCUUGAGAUUGGGAGAGGGAUGCGGAAUUCCAGGUGUAGCGGUGAAAUGCGUAGAUAUCUGGAGGAACACCGGUGGCGAAGGCGGCAUCCUGGACCAACACUGACGCUGAGGAGCGAAAGCCAGGGGAGCAAACGGG